rnacentral:rRNA from 1 species
UACAGAGGUGGCAAGCGUUGUUCGGAAUUACUGGGCGUAAAGAGCGCGCAGGCGGUCGUUCAAGUCGCGUGUGAAAGCCCCCGGCUCAACUGGGGAGGGUCACGCGAUACUGAUCGACUCGAAGGCAGGAGAGGGUAGUGGAAUUCCCGGUGUAGUGGUGAAAUGCGCAGAUAUCAGGAGGAACACCGGUGGCGAAGGCGGUUCUCUGGGCAUUACCUGACGCUGAGGAGCGAAAGUGUGGGGAGCGAACAGG